rnacentral:rRNA from 1 species
AUUGAACGCUGGCGGCAGGCCUAACACAUGCAAGUCGAACGAGUGGCGGACGGGUGAGUAAUGUCUGGGAAACUGCCUGAUGGAGGGGGAUAACUACUGGAAACGGUAGCUAAUACCGCAUACCAUCGGAUGUGCCCAGAUGGGAUUAGCUAGUAGGUGGGGUAAAGGCUCACCAAGGCGACGAUCCCUAGCUGGUCUGAGAGGAUGAACAGCCACGCUGGGUCUGCGACACGGUCCAUACUCCUACGGGAGGCAGCAGUGGGGAAUAUUGCACAAUUGACGCAAGCCUGAUGCAGCAAUGCAGAGUGUAUGAAGAAGGCCUUCGGGUUGUAAAGUACUUUCAGCGGAGAGGCGUUACCCGCAGAAGAAGCACCGGCUAAAUCCGUGCCAGCAGCCGCGGUAAUAC